rnacentral:lncRNA from 1 species
CUAAUAAGUCUUUAUUUCCAAACAGAAACUGCAAAAAUAUUCUAUUACAGAACAAGUAACAAGUGCAGAAUUCUGAGUACGCAUUUUAACAGUGAAACCACUGCCUCCUUGACAAAAAAAUCAUUAGGCACUUAAAACAUGAAAACAAAGUACAAAUUAAAUCAGCCGUAACAGAUGACUCAACAAUACAAAUUCAUCUUGAUUUUCUGUAAUAAAGCACACACACGCUUGAGGAGCUUUCUGUGCCUCCUCCUAAAUCCUGCACAGAGACACUUCUAUGUUAUACUGCACACAUUCUACUCAAACAAUAUCAAGUUCACAUCUGAAAACAUAAAUAAGUUCAGCGUUGAGAGAAUCUGAGAGAACCUUUUUGGGAACAGCAGUAGCAGAGCCUACACUAGCAGCUUCACACAGAGCCUGGCGCAUGUGGAGGAGCACAAUUAUACCAGCUCCAAGGGGGGAUAAGCUCUGCUUCUACGAUUGCAUUGAAAAGAAUGGAACCAAGAUUAAUGCACACAUUUUAAGAGACAAUGAAACCUCUGGGAAAAAGCUAUCACGGAAACUUUAUUGAAUUACCUUUUUGACACGUGAAACAGUCUCUGAAAUAAAACCAUGCAUUUGCCAUCCCUUAGGAGCAGCCCUGUGUAGGACCUCUCCAUUCUCCCACCUUCUCACUUGAAGAUCUUGAACUAAAUCAGAAGCAGAGGUGGCCUCUCAGACCCACCUUAGAAAGGUUCAUCUAAGAAUCAAGUGUCCAAAUGACUAACGAAAGUACCCAUCAAGAAAUCAGUGAGAUGAUACCCUUAAAAAUGAUUUUGGAUUGUAUCACUGUUUUUUUAGGUGACAUUAUGUAACUUCCCCCACAGUUAACUCUGGUAGCAUAAAAUAUGAAUAUUUUAAAUAAUUUUAAUAAGAAUCUCAAAGAAAAAAUAUUAAGACUAUCAACAUAAAGAAUAUAUAUGAAGCUACUAUAUAAAAUGUGCAUAUAAAACAUGCGGAAAUGUCAGCUGCUAAACUUCUGUUUCACAAGAAUUGCAGAAUGGGUUUGUACCAUAAGCACUAACAAUAAAUACACCAAGGAGGUGUCCUUAGGGACUCAGCUCACAGUCAAGCCAAGAGCUAAAAAGCCCAGCAGGUUGUUGAACUACAGACUUGCUGUGAAGAAUCUCCUCUUGUCAGGGACUAAAGUGGAUAGUGAGGAAUUUAAAACCAGCAAUAUUGUCUUAGACUAGACUACCCUGUCACAACCAUUAGCAGGAUUCAUUCUAAUGGCAUCUUGCUAUAAUACCAUGAAUUCAUGGUGGAAUCAUUAAAUACUUCCACCAUGCAAUUGAGUUUUCUCCCUCACUGGAGAAAAGAGGGAUAAAAAAAAAGACAAGGCACAGCAGUACUAGGUGCAGCAACAAACACCGAUGUAUUGCUGAAGCUUUGUCAGGUUAGCAAAAGACAGAUUUGACUGUUUACUUGAUGACAUGAGGAUGUCACUGCUUCUUGUAUUUAACAGGUAGGCUGUUUUCAUCCUUAAACCAGUAUUUGCCAACACCCACCACCAAAGGUCAGCUACUGCUCACACACAGAGGAACGUGAGUUCAGCCAAUUAUACAUCACAGUAUGAAGUCUACUCCUUGGUCUACAGCAAACCCAAGCUGAUGUACUCCCAUCGUGUUAAGCUCUUGUCA